AGAUUGAACGCUAGCGGGAUGCUUUACACAUGCAAGUCGAACGGCAGCGCGGACUUCGGUCUGGCGGCGAGUGGCGAACGGGUGAGUAAUAUAUCGGAACGUGCCCAGUAGCGGGGGAUAACUACGCGAAAGCGUGGCUAAUACCGCAUACGCCCUACGGGGGAAAGGGGGGGAUUCUUCGGGACCUCUCACUAUUGGAGCGGCCGAUAUCAGAUUAGCUAGUUGGUGAGGUAAAGGCUCACCAAGGCGACGAUCUGUAGCUGGUUUGAGAGGACGACCAGCCACACUGGGACUGAGACACGGCCCAGACUCCUACGGGAGGCAGCAGUGGGAAUUUGGACAAUGGGGGAAACCUGAUCCAGCCAUCCCGCGUGUGCGAUGAAGGCCUUCGGGUGUAAAGCACUUUGUUGGUAAAGAAAAGACAAUACGUUAAUACCGGUUAGUUCUGUACGUACCCAAAGAAUAAGACAACCGCUAACUUACGCGCCAGCAGCCGC
rnacentral:rRNA from 1 species